CGUGUGGGCUGAGGGGGGCGCUCAGCGGCAGAGCUCUGGCCUCGGAGGCAUGAGGACCUGGGUGCCACCCCCGCCACCAUGAGAAGAAAACAACCUGGGUUAAGUCUGUGCUGGAUGAAUGUCAUCAAUCUAAAGCCAUCAAGGACAUGUCAGAGCAAAAGGUAGACUUCCGUUGUUUCUGAGGGGGGCGCUCAGCGGCAGAGCUCUGGCCUCGGAGGCAUGAGGACCUGGGUGCCACCCCCGCCACCAUGAGAAGAAAACAACCUGGGUUAAGUCUGUGCUGGAUGAAUGUCAUCAAUCUAAAGCCAUCAAGGACAUGUCAGAGCAAAAGGUAGACUUCCGUUGUUUCCCUAAAGGUAACAGGGUAAGGGAGGGUAAGGAAGCAUCGUGGGAGACGCAGACAUAAUUAGAUGAGAGAGAGAGAGAGAGAGAGAGAGAGAGAGAGAGAGAGAGAGAGAGAAAGAGAUAGAGAGAGGACCUGCUGGGCUUUUCUCCGACCACGGAGACAGGGAGAACUGCAGGGGCUGUCAGGACUCCAGGGUUCCACUGUCCCCUUGCCCUGCCUAGAGAGUGCCAAGGGGUGUGACUGUGAUGAUUCCUUCCAACUGCAUGCAGGGGACAAAACAGCCUUGUCACGCCGCAAAAACAGAGCGAUGUUCGCGUAUCCCACCAUGAACUCCUGGCUUGGGCCGGUGGGUGGCUCUGGGCUCUGUUAGCGGAGUCUGCUUCCCACCCCGUACAGAGGGAUGUCACCUACCUCUGUCAUCUGCUGUGGUGACACUGACGGUCAGGUUCUGAGGAGGAUCUGGAAGGACAGACACAGGGAGGGUCAGGUGCAAAGUUGGCCUGUGGUCCUUAACAGCACCCCAGGAGCCCAGAGACAGAGCAGGAAGCAGGGCAGAAGAGGUGGUGUCCACCCUUGGCUUCCUGUCCCAGCACUCACAGGACACACUGAGCUGCACAGUCCUCUCCCUGGUCACACCAGCCUGAGGGAAGGUCACCCGACAGGAGACUCUGCGGCUAGUCAGGCACCAGCUACUCGGGAGAAGAGGCGGAGGCACGGGGCUGGGACCCUCGAGGGCGCGACACUGCGAUCUGCAGCUCUGAGGGUGCCAUCGUGAGACCCUUCACAGUUUUGUGUUUGCGUCUGUGUCUGUGUUCGGAGCUGAAGUCCGACGGCGGAGUGGAACCCGAAAGGCUGCUUUGGAACCGGAUCUCAGGAGUCCGCACUGCUCCACCUCCUCACCUCCUCCUUCCCAGAGAGCUUCUUGGCCCCACCGCAGCUCCUGUUACCCGAGUACCCUGAGCACAUUUAGGGGUCUGCCCUGCCCACCCUGAGCCCCAGAUUCUUUAAGGCUGAAGGAUGGGAUGUUAGCAAGCAAAAUAAGUAAAACGAUAUGGAUUUUAGCGUGCAGCUCAGUGGUACCGUGAUCGCCCCGCAUGUAUGAGGCCCUGGUCCCAUCCCAGCACCAAAAAAUCUAACAAAUAAGAAAUCUGCCAUGAAUAAAUCCUGUUCUGUGCACAGAUAUGAAUGUUCCUCAGCCACCAAAGGGAAUGGAGUCUGCUAUGUUAUAAAACUAGAAAACACGACCCUGAGUAGGCGAAGACAGACAGAUAAUGCAAGAAUCCGG
ensembl:lincRNA